CAUAAGCAUAGCUGUCACUAUUUCAGUGUGUUUUCAGUUCAUGAAAGUUAAGGAGUCGGUUGUUCAGUUUUUUCGAGUGUGUAUGAGUUGCUUAUCGGCGAGGCUCCAGACCGCCACCACACCUUCAUCUGAACCUGCAACCAGCAGCUCCGCCUCCAGACUGACGUCCACACAGAGAACACCUGAAAACACAACAACAGGUGAUGGUGGCGACUCCACCCACCCAGCGCUCCUCCAGCAGGUCCUCCAGGUCCCGUCUUAGCCGAGCCCAGAGGAGG